rnacentral:rRNA from 1 species
UACGGAGGGUGCGAGCGUUAAUCGGAAUUACUGGGCGUAAAGGGUGCGUAGGUGGUUGAUUAAGUUAUCUGUGAAAUUCCUGGGCUCAACCUGGGCAGGUCAGAUAAGACUGAUUGACUCGAGUAUAGGAGAGGGUAGUGGAAUUUCCGGUGUAGCGGUGAAAUGCGUAGAGAUCGGAAGGAACACCAGUGGCGAAGGCGGCUACCUGGCCUAUACUGACACUGAGGCACGAAAGCGUGGGGAGCAAACAGG